GAUGAACGCUGGCGGCGUGCUUAACACAUGCAAGUCGAACGGAAAGGCUCCUGCUUGCAGGGGUACUCGAGUGGCGAACGGGUGAGUAACACGUGGGUGAUCUGCCCUGCACUUCGGGAUAAGCCUGGGAAACUGGGUCUAAUACCGGAUAGGACCACAUUUUGGAUGGUGUGGUGGAAAGCUUUUCGGCGUGGGAUGAGCUCGCGGCCUAUCAGCUUGUUGGUGGGGUAAUGGCCUACCAAGGCGUUGACGGGUAGCCGGCCUGAGAGGGUGUACGGCCACAUUGGGACUGAGAUACGGCCCAGACUCCUACGGGAGGCAGCAGUGGGGAAUAUUGCACAAUGGGCGCAAGCCUGAUGCAGCGACGCCGCGUGGGGGAUGACGGCCUUCGGGUUGUAAACUGCUUUCGCUAGGGACGAAGCGCAAGUGACGGUACCUGGAGAAGAAGCACCGGCUAACUACGUG
rnacentral:rRNA from 1 species